rnacentral:sRNA from 1 species
UCAAUCAUCCAAUCUACAAACAAAACUAUUUAUCUAUCUUUUUCGAAGUUCAUCUUCACCACCAAAUCAACCAUGUCUCCCUGCUCCUGCAACUGCUGCUCCGGCAACUGCAACUCUUGCUCUUGCAACAGCUGCACCGUCAGUCUCC